rnacentral:rRNA from 1 species
CGGGUGAGUAAUGUCUGGGAAACUGCCUGAUGGAGGGGGAUAACUACUGGAAACGGUAGCUAAUACCGCAUAACGUCGCAAGACCAAAGAGGGGACCUUAGGGCCUCUUGCCAUCGGAUGUGCCCAGAUGGGAUUAGCUAGUAGGUGGGGUAACGGCUCACCUAGGCGACGAUCCCUAGCUGGUCUGAGAGGAUGAUCAGCCACACUGGGACUGAGACACGGCCCAG